AUACGGAGGGUGCAAGCGUUAUUCGGAAUCACUGGGCGUAAAGGACGUGUAGGCGGGUUGGCAAGUCAGAUGUGAAAUCCUACAGCUUAACUGUAGAACUGCAUUUGAAACUGCUAACCUAGAGUAUGGGAGGGGGAGAUGGAAUUAGUGGUGUAGGGGUGAAAUCCGUAGAUAUCACUAGGAAUACCGAAAGCGAAGGCGAUCUCCUGGAACAUAACUGACGCUAAGGCGUGAAAGCGUGGGGAGCAAACAGGAUUAGAUACCCUAGUAGUCC
rnacentral:rRNA from 1 species